ensembl:lncRNA
CUCUCCAAAAUAUACCCAAAAACCUAUCCAGAUCCAUAUAAAAGUACAUCAUGUAUGUUUUGUGGUUUUGUACUCAAAAGUACAUCAUGUAUGUUUUGUGGUGGUGUGUGGUGGGGUGUGGAGGUGGUGUAGUGGUGUGUGGAGGUGUGUGGUGGGGUGUGGAGGUGGUGUAGGGGGUGUGGAGGUGUGUAGUGGUGUGUGGAGGUGGUGUAGUGGUGUGUGGAGGUGGUGUAGUGGGGUGUGGAGGUGGUGUAGUGGUGUGUGGAGGUGUGUGGAGGUGGUGUAGUGGUGUGUGGAGGGGUGUGGAGGUGGUGUAGUGGUGUGUGGAGGUGUAGUGGGUGUAGUGGUGUGUGGAGGGGUGUAGUGGGGUGUGGAGGUGUGUAGUGGUGUGGAGGUGUGUAGUGGUGUGUGGAGGUUGGGUGUGGAGGUGUAGUGGGGUGUGGAGGUGUGUAGUGGUGUGUGGAGGUGGUGUAGUGGUGUGGAGGGGGUGUGUGGAGGUGUGUAGUGGGUGUGGAGGUGGUGUAGUGGGGUGUGGAGGCGUGUGAGGUGGUGUGUGUGUG